GCCCGCAAGGCUAAAACUCAAAGGAAUUGACGGGGGCCNGCACAAGCGGUGGAGCAUGUGGUUCAAUUCGAUGCAACGCGAAGAACCUUACCUGGUCUUGACAUCCCGGGAAUCUCCCUGAAAGGGGAGAGUGCCUUCGGGAACCCGGUGACAGGUGCUGCAUGGCUGUCGUCAGCUCGUGUCGUGAGAUGUUGGGUUAAGUCCCGCAACGAGCGCAACCCUUGUCUUUAGUUGCCAGCGGUUCGGCCGGGCACUCUAGAGAGACUGCCGGUGUCAAACCGGAGGAAGGUGGGGAUGACGUCAAGUCCUCAUGGCCCUUACGACCAGGGCUACACACGUGCUACAAUGGCCGGUACAAAGGGCAGCAACACCGCGAGGUGAAGCAAAUCCCAAAAAACCGGCCUCAGUACGGAUUGCAGUCUGCAACUCGACUGCAUGAAGUUGGAAUCGCUAGUAAUCGCGGAUCAGCACGCCGCGGUGAAUACGUUCCCGGGCCUUGUACACACCGCCCGUCACACCACGAAAGCUGCUCGAACCAGAAGUCGGUGACCCAACCUCUCGGGGACGGAGCCGCCCAAGGUUCUGGCAGUGAUUGGGGUG
rnacentral:rRNA from 1 species